CACGUAGGGUGCGAGCGUUGUCCGGAAUUAUUGGGCGUAAAGAGCUCGUAGGCGGUGUGUCGCGUCGGCCGUGAAAACCUGCAGCUUAACUGUGGGCUUGCGGUCGAUACGGGCAUCACUGGAGUUCGGCAGGGGAGACUGGAAUUCCUGGUGUAGCGGUGAAAUGCGUAGAGAUCGGGAGGAACACCAGAGGCGAAAGCGGCGACCUGGACAGGUACUGACACUCAACUACGAAAGCGUGGGGAGCAAACAGG
rnacentral:rRNA from 1 species